AGAAAGGAAAUUUUGAAAGGAAGAAUUCCCUAUUUUUUCUUUGUAUGGGCACACGCACCCGAAGGAACCAGCACAAAUAUUUGCCUUGGUGCUUUCUGCAUUAAUCUGCUAUACUGCACUCCAAGAAGCCUAGAUGUCUACAACCCUCCUG